rnacentral:rRNA from 1 species
GAGUUUGAUCAUGGCUCAGAUUGAACGCUGGCGGCAGGCCUAACACAUGCAAGUCGAGCGGUAGAGAGAAGCUUGCUUCUCUUGAGAGCGGCGGACGGGUGAGUAAUGCCUAGGAAUCUGCCUGGUAGUGGGGGAUAACGCUCGGAAACGGACGCUAAUACCGCAUACGUCCUACGGGAGAAAGCAGGGGACCUUCGGGCCUUGCGCUAUCAGAUGAGCCUAGGUCGGAUUAGCUAGUUGGUGAGGUAAAUGGCUCACCAAGGCGACGAUCCGUAACUGGUCUGAGAGGAUGAUCAGUCACACUGGAGCUGAGACACGGUCCAGACUCCUACGGGAGGCAGCAGUGGGGAAUAUUGGACAAUGGGCGAAAGCCUGAUCCAGCCAUGCCGCGUGUGUGAAGAAGGUCUUCGGAUUGUAAAGCAACUUUAAGUGGGAGGAAGGGCAGUAGAUUAAUACUUUGCUGUUUCGACGUUACCGACAGAAUAAGCACCGGCUAACU